GACAUUUGGUAGAGACUGUUGAAGCCACCUGGUCCCAGCAGACCCCAGAAGGCAGCCACAUUCGCUGGUGCUGGGGCAAGGUCAUUGAGGGUGAAGCCUGGUGCCAGAUGUGG
ensembl:rRNA 5S_rRNA 5S ribosomal RNA